rnacentral:lncRNA from 1 species
UCUAGCAGUCUAGCUGCAUCCAGCCAGAUACUACAUACUACUAGGUGUACUAGUAGGACCCGAAACAAAAGUUUUGACAAGUACGUACUGUCAUAUUUCGGUAGCAGGUUUUCACUAAAUACCAAAAAGACGACGAAAUCUAAGAGAGUUGUCGCAGUUCCCCACCAGACGACACUAGCGGUAUAGGAGAACCGCGAGAGGGAAAAAGGCGCACGAUUAUGCGAUACAUCGCACUUGUGCAGUCAGACAUGGGUUGUUGUCUUUUUGUCACUAUGGGUGCAUUAUAGCGAAGUCGCCAAUCUGACCUGUAGAAUUGGAAACAUUUUGUCAUCAUCCUGGGACUUGAAUUGUCAGCAUUUGGCAAAGAAUGGGAAAACUGUGUGUAUUGUUGGAGCAUUGGGCCGCAGCCCACAUCCAGCAUCAAAAUGUUUUGGGAGUGGAGCAUUUAAGUUAAACUAAGGGGUUUCACCUAGAACAGCCAAUCUGACCUGUAGAAUUGGAAACAUUUUGUUAUCAUCCUGGGACUUGAAUUGUCAGCAUUUGGCAAAGAAUGGGAAAGCUGCAUGUAUUGCCCACACUUGUAUUUGGAUUUCUUGGAUGCUCAAUUUUGCUACAGGAAGUUUUCGCUAAUUCAUUCAACCCUUUCUGUACCUACUUCCAGUUGGAGCAUUGAGCUGCAGCCCACAUCCAGCAUCAAAAUGUUGUGGGAGUGGAGUAUUUAAGUUAAACUACCUUCUUGAUGUGCUAUUAGACUUCUUUGUUCCUCUCUGUUAAAGGCCAAAUACCUUCACAGUAAAUGAAUGUGUCAAGCUUCUUUCUAAGGUUUUUAGAAAAAGAAAAAAAAAAAUUUUGUUGUGUCGCAUAGAUUGAAACUUAACCCUUUUCCGCAGUAUCCUGAAAUACUCACAAUAUGAAUUCCCUUUUGACAAGUUUUCUCUGGUCAAAGUACCAUCAUAUACGAUUGUUUUCUUGUUUUGAAGGUAAACUUGAACACAACAGGCAGUUAAGUUUAUCAAAAGUCUUUCCUACCAGUGGCGUUUCAAUUGUGAACAGUUUACAAAAUAUAUCGAUAGAAUGAUUUUCAAAAAUUUGAA